GACGAACGCUGGCGGCGUGCUUAACACAUGCAAGUCGAACGGAAAGGCCUUUUCGGAGGUACUCGAGUGGCGAACGGGUGAGUAACACGUGGGUGAUCUGCCCUGCACUCUGGGAUAAGCCUGGGAAACUGGGUCUAAUACCGGAUAGGACCGCACUUUAGUGUGUGUGGUGGAAAGUUUUUUCGGUGUAGGAUGAGCCCGCGGCCUAUCAGCUUGUUGGUGGGGUAAUGGCCUACCAAGGCGGCGACGGGUAGCCGGACUGAGAGGUUGGUCGGCCACAUUGGGACUGAGAUACGGCCCAGACUCCUACGGGAGGCAGCAGUGGGGAAUAUUGCACAAUGGGCGCAAGCCUGAUGCAGCGACGCCGCGUGGGGGAUGACGGCCUUCGGGUUGUAAACUCCUUUCGCCAGGGACGAAGCGUUUUGUGACGGUACCUGGAGAAGAAGCACCGGCUAACUACGUGC
rnacentral:rRNA from 1 species